UACGGAGGGGGGCUAGCGUUGUUCGGAAUUACUGGGCGUAAAGCGCGCGUAGGCGGACCUGCAAGUCGGGGGUGAAAGCCCGAGGCUCAACCUCGGGUCUGCAGUCGAUACGAGCAAACUAGAGUGUUGCAGGGGAGACUGGAAUUCCUGGUGUAGCGGUGAAAUGCGCAGAUAUCAGGAGGAACACCGGUGGCGAAGGCGGGUCUCUGGGCAACAACUGACGCUGGAGGAGCGAAAGCAUGGGGAGCGAACAGG
rnacentral:rRNA from 1 species